rnacentral:rRNA from 1 species
UGAGGAAUAUUGGUCAAUGGGCGAGAGCCUGAACCAGCCAAGUAGCGUGCAGGACGACGGCCCUAUGGGUUGUAAACUGCUUUUAUGUGGGGAUAAAGUGCGUGACGUGUCAUGCAUUGCAGGUACCACAUGAAUAAGGACCGGCUAAUUCCGUGCCAGCAGCCGCGGUAAUACGGAAGGUCCGGGCGUUAUCCGGAUUUAUUGGGUUUAAAGGGAGCGUAGGCUGUCUAUUAAGCGUGUUGUGAAAUUUACCGGCUCAACCGGUGGCUUGCAGCGCGAACUGGUCGACUUGAGUAUGCAGGAAGUAGGCGGAAUUCAUGGUGUAGCGGUGAAAUGCUUAGAUAUCAUGACGAACUCCGAUUGCGAAGGCAGCUUACGGGAGCGCAACUGACGCUGAAGCUCGAAGGUGCGGGUAUCGAACAGG